AUACUUAACUGGCAAGGGAGAUACCAUGAUCACAAAGGUGCUUUCCUAGGGCAAAGCUUAUCCACUGCACUCUGGAUGUGCUGGCCCGUGCAAUUUCCCUCAGUUUGGGAAACUUGACUGUAUAAUUUGUGGUAGCAGGUGUCUGUAUUCAUGAACACCCC